rnacentral:rRNA from 1 species
UACGAAGGGGGCUAGCGUUGCUCGGAAUCACUGGGCGUAAAGCGCACGUAGGCGGCUUACUAAGUCAGGGGUGAAAUCCUGGAGCUCAACUCCAGAACUGCCUUUGAUACUGGUAGCUCGAGUCCGGGAGAGGUGAGUGGAACUGCGAGUGUAGAGGUGAAAUUCGUAGAUAUUCGCAAGAACACCAGUGGCGAAGGCGGCUCACUGGCCCGGUACUGACGCUGAGGUGCGAAAGUGUGGGGAGCGAACAGG